GAUGAAGAACGCAGCAAAAUGCGAUAAGUAAUGUGAAUUGCAGAAUUCAGUGAAUCAUCGAAUCUUUGAACGCACAUUGCGCCCGCCAGUAUUCUGGCGGGCAUGCCUGUUCGAGCGUCAUUUCAACCCUCAAGCACAGCUUGGUGUUGGGACUCGCGUUAAUUCGCGUUCCCCAAAUUGAUUGGCGGUCACGUCGAGCUUCCAUAGCGUAGUAGUAAAACCCUCGUUACUGGUAAUCGUCGCGGCCACGCCGUUAAACCCCAACUUCUGAAUGUUGACCUCGGAUCAGGUAGGAAUACCCGCUAAACUUAAGCAUAUCAAUAAGCGGAGGA
rnacentral:misc_RNA from 1 species